UAUAUCCUGGUCUAGUGGUCAGAGCGUCCGCCUGAGAUGCGGGAAGUCGUGUGUUCUAUCCCCGGCAGAGUUAUAU